CGCACGCGCGCUACACUGAAGGAAUCAGCGUGUGUUCUUCCUGAUCCGUAAGGACCGGGUAACCCGUUGAACCUCCUUCGUGCUAGGGAUUGGGGCUUGCAAUUAUUCCCCAUGAACGAGGAAUUCCCAGUAAGCGCGAGUCAUAAGCUCGCGUUGAUUACGU
rnacentral:rRNA from 1 species